rnacentral:lncRNA from 1 species
AUGAUUCCAGCCACCGCAGGAAUGUUUGUUCCAAGCCAGAGCUUCCUUGGAAAAACACAGGUUAAACCAAAGCCAGCUGCUCUUUGGGCAGUGACCUGGUUCCAUAUGACAAACAGCAAAGGAUUCUGUUUUAAAGAAGGACGUGGGGGGCAGCCCCAGUGGUGCAGCGGUUUAGCGCCACCUGCAGCCCAGGGUGUGAUCCUCGAGACCCAGGAUCGAGUCCCACAUCGGCUUCCCUGCCUUGAGCCUGCUUCUCCCUCUGCCUGUGUCUCUGCCUCUGUGUGUGUGUGUGUGUGUGUGUGUGUGUGUGUGUCUCAUGAAUAAAUAAAUAAAAUAUUUAAAAAAUAAUAAUAAUAAAAUAAAGAAGGACAUGGGUCUAGAAAGAAAAGACUAUUUACUUAUUGUCAAACCAGAAAACUCUUCGGAAUGAGCAUGGUCAUGUGGAAGAAGGACAUGUGUUUUCAGGUGGCAGAAUGAAUACAAUCGAGGGCACAGACCUUGGAGCCCGUACAGCUGCAGCUCUCUGUUCCCUGUGCCCGGAUGAAGCAGUCAUGGCAGUGGGAGGAAAGUGGGGGAACACAUAGGCUCUCUGAUAAAACAGGGAAAAGAGAGUAAUGAGGUCCCAGAGAUGAAACAAGUCAACCCCUCUGACUCUGGACUCUGUCACUUCAGACGUUCGGUAGAUCUUACAGAGAGGUGUGUUUCUUCUCACCAUCAGGGUGGCCCCUUGGAGGAUUUCACAGGACUGUGUCUCAAAGGGGAUCCUCUCAAUAUUCCAAUUCCAGAGCAAGCUGAUCUGAAAAACAAAUUAGCUCAGUCUGGCAGUAUUGAUCAAGCAGGGGUAAAUGGAGCCACUGCGUAGGUUUCUUUAAAGUCAUGAUAUGAGGCAGCCCGGGUGGCUCAGUGCUGUAGUGCCGCCUUUGGCCCAGGGUGUGGCCCUGGAGACCUAGGAUCGAGUCCCCCAUUGGGCUCCCUGCGUGGGACCUGCUUCUCCCUCUGCCUGUGUCUCUGCCUCUCUCUCUCUCUUUCUGUCUCUCAUGAAUGAAUAAAUAAAUAAAAUCUUAAAAAAUAAGUAAACAAAUAAAUAAAUAAAGUUAUGAUAUGACAACAGAAUGUGCAAAUGUUGGGGCACCUGGGUGGUGCAGCCAUUUGAGCAUCCAACUCUUGGUUUCGGCUCAGGUCAUGAUCUUGGGGUCCUGGGAUCAAGCCCCAUGUCAGGCUCCACACUCGGCAUGGAAUCUGCUUAAGAGUCUCUCUCUCCCUCUCCCUCUGCCCCUCCUAUUCAUGCUCUCUCUCUCUCUCUCUCUCUCUCCCUCUCACUCUCAAAUAAAUAAAUAAAAUCUUAAAAAAAAAAAAAAAAAGAAUGUCCCAAUGUUGCCAGUCCCCAAGUACCAUUGAGGCACAAAUCCUGCCUCCUGACCUUGAGGCAUCACCAUCUUGCCACAAAGAACAAGAGCAAUGGCAGGUCAGUGCUGGGCUGACCCUCCCGAUUAAAUACCAGCCUUGCUUUCCUUUCCCCCUCAAGAGAGCAUGGGAACAUACAUGGCCACGUGGACCCUGUGAAGGUAAAAAGUGCUGCAUCAGGAGAUCUUAAAUCAGGAUAACAAAGGCUCCCUGGGCAGAGUUCAAUUAAUAACUUCCAGACCCGCCCUGGUUUUGAUAGCACUGUGGUUAAUACCAUGCAAAAUCCUAGUAGAAAAAAUGUACCUGAUAAGGUUGGGUUUCCAUGAGAUUUUUCCCAACAUGCAUAACUGAAACAGUUGAUAAAGAUGUCAAAGUGAGUGUGAACUGUCACCCCCACACACCCAGGCCCUGGACAGCCCUUUCAUAUGCACGGCUCUGUUCGUAAGAGCACUCAAGAGUUAAGACAUGAUAAAUGAUCUGUGCAAGCAGGCAUUGGAAAGUGACAAUCAAGACCUAAGAGGAGUUUAACAAUAUGUUGUGACAGGUAAGUUUGAAUAUGCAGAUUAGAAAGAUCAUGUUUCUUAGCCGUUUCUUUAAUUAUAGCUUUGAAAGAGAAGGUUCCAUUUCCAGCUUCAUGGAGGAAGCUAUGUGGUGAUGUCUCCAUUAAUUAUGGCUGUCUGUGUGUUGUUGAGAAGGUUCACAAUUCCCCGCCCUCGGGUAGGUCCCAGGCUCGAACACCCUAUCCACAGGUGGUCAGUGCAGUUCUCAAAAAAGGGGGGAGGUCAACAGGCCAUCCACUUGGACUCACACAGCCCCCUCUGUCCUUGACCGCAUAUCCUUGAUGCCAGAGACUGCAUCAGCACGAGUGGCACGCCAUCUCCAAAGCAUUGACUCCCUGGGCACCAACGCCAUCACCCAUCAUGGUCAUUAACAUUAUUGGAGAGCUGCUUGUGUCACUGAUGUUUUUGUCAUCUGUCCUUUGCAAAGGGGUACGUUCAGGGAACAUUUGGACCCACCUGUCGGAAAAGCCGUGGCUAGGAAGAAUUCUAAAUGACAUGCAAAAAUACUUCCCCCUCCAGCCAGUGAGCUGAACACCACCUUUGCUCCCCUGGGGUGUGGGCUUGACCCCAUGACACACUUCCAAAGGAUAGAAUAUAGGAUUAUAUAGGAUAUAAUAUAUAGAAUAUAGGAUAGAAUAUAGGAAAGAGAGGGUAAAGUUACUUUGGAGAAACCUGGCACACUCCACCUGCACCAAAUGGUCAUGAUUAUCAUGCCCAGCAAUAUCAUGACCAAUAUGAUGUCCCAAUAUGAUGCCCUCCACCGGGAACCUCACCUUCCUGAUAUUCUUGCCCAAAAGUACCUAAGCCCCAGCAUCAACAUGAGAAAAGCCUCAGGGAAACCCAGAUGAGGGGCAUUCUACACAAUAGACCAACACUCUUGGAAAAUGUCCAAAACCACAAAGGAAGGCUGAGAAGCCAUCACAGACCAGAGGAGCCUGAGGAGGCAGGAGAAAUAAGUGCCAUGUGUGGCCCUGGACGGGAUCCUGGACCAAGAAGAAUCGAGAGUGGGGAAGACUAGAGAGGUCUGAACAAAGUCUGAUGUCUGGUCAUUAGUAAUGGGGCCACACUAAUCUCUUAGUCCUGGCAGAGGCACCAUGGUCAUGCAAGACGGGAACAUCAGGCAGAUCGGGUGAGGGGGACAUGGGGACAGGGCUGGGACCAGGCACAGGUGAGAGAGACAUCUGGAUGCAAAUUCAGGGAGGCGCUCAUUCUCAGGGUGUGGCACAUGCUGGCCUGGCAUGGCCCUGGGUAGGAACUCUGUGCUACAUUUGUAACUUUUCUGCAAAUCCAAAGUUAUUCCAAAAUAAAACAUGUAUGAAAGAAAAAGUUUCCGGUUGGAAUCUUGCAAUAUCCUCAUUAGCAUAUGGAACAGUGGAAUUCCUGGCAAAAGAAGGGGAGAAUCUAGCACAAGGACGAGGCAGGGUCCCAUGAGUGUAGGGGUUGGCCUAUUUAUUAUACCUGCUGUCCAGGUGCACAUGGACCUGUGGCAUAAUGUGUAGCACAGACAGUGUCACUAGGCAGCGUCAGCAAACCAACUUGGGUGCAAUAGUCAAAUAGGAGCAACCCAGGUAAGGUACCCAUGUUUAACAAAACCCAAAGGGACUCCUUAACUUGGGGCCUUAUAAACCCAAUCAAAGUACCUGUUGAGGAUGUUGGUCCGUGUGUCAUUGGGAGUAUAUUGAUGGGUACACUCACUGCUUCCAGCCAAAUGAGGAUAUAGUGUGGAUUCUGAUAAGAACCCCUGAAAACCUGACAACAGCCCUAAAUCAAGGUGGACAGAGUCUAGUUGGGUCUGGAAAUGGGUGAGACCCAUGUUACUCUGGCCACAUCCAAACUGGACUGGUUGGGAGGGUGCUCCUGCCUAGCAACCCCAUGCCUAUUGGCCACAGGGGCUCUCAGCUUUCACCAUGAACCCCAGUAAGGAGCCACAGAGUGUUACAAGCCUCUCUCCCUCCCUGAACUUUCUGC